rnacentral:rRNA from 1 species
GUAACAUAUCGGAACGUGCCCAAUCGUGGGGGAUAACGUAGCGAAAGCUACGCUAAUACCGCAUACGAUCUAUGGAUGAAAGCGGGGGAUCGCAAGACCUCGCGCGAUUGGAGCGGCCGAUAUCAGAUUAGGUUGUUGGUGGGGUAAAAGCCCACCAAGCCGACGAUCUGUAGCUGGUCUGAGAGGACGACCAGCCACACUGGGACUGAGACACGGCCCAGACUCCUACGGGAGGCAGCAGUGGGGAAUUUUGGACAAUGGGCGCAAGCCUGAUCCAGCAAUGCCGCGUGCAGGAUGAAGGCUUUCGGGUUGUAAACUGCUUUUGUACGGAGCGAAACGGCUUUCUCUAAUACAGGAAGCUAAUGACGGUACCGUAAGAAUAAGCACCGGCUAACUACGUGCCAGCAGCCGCGAUAAUACGUAGGGUGCUAGCGUUAAUCGGAAUUACUGGGCGUAAAGCGUGCGCAGGCGGUUUUGUAAGACAGAUGUGAAAUCCCCGGGCUCAACCUGGGACCUGCAUUUGUGACUGCAAGGCUAGAGUACGGUAGAGGGGGAUGGAAUUCCGCGUGUAGCAGUGAAAUGCGUAGAUAUGCGGAGGAACACCGAUGGCGAAGGCAAUCCCCUGGACCUGUACUGACGCUCAUGCA